UACAGAGGGUGCAAGCGUUAAUCGGAGUUACUGGGCGUAAAGGGCGCGUAGGCGGUAGAUUAAGUGAGUUGUGAAAUCCCUGGGCUUAACCUAGGAACUGCAACUUAUACUGGUUUACUGGAGUACUGUAGAGGGUAGUGGAAUUUCCGGUGUAGCGGUGAAAUGCGUAGAGAUCGGAAGGAACACCAGUGGCGAAGGCGGCUACCUGGACAGAUACUGACGCUGAGGAGCGAAAGCGUGGGGAGCGAACAGG
rnacentral:rRNA from 1 species